GACGUAGGGCGCGAGCGUUGUCCGGAUUUAUUGGGCGUAAAGAGCUCGUAGGCGGCUUGUUGCGUCAGCUGUGAAAACCCGCAGCUCAACUGUGGGCUUGCAGCUGAUACGGGCAGGCUUGAGUUCGGUAGGGGAGACUGGAAUUCCUGGUGUAGCGGUGAAAUGCGUAGAGAUCCGGAGGAACACCAGAGGCGAAGGCGGCCCACUGGGCUGCACCUGACGCUGAACCGCGAAAGCCAGGGGAGCGAACGGG
rnacentral:rRNA from 1 species